rnacentral:rRNA from 1 species
AACGAACGCUGGCGGCAUGCCUAACACAUGCAAGUCGAACGAGACCUUCGGGUCUAGUGGCGCACGGGUGCUUAACGCGUGGGAACCUGCCCUUAGGUUCGGAAUAACUCCCCGAAAGGGGUGCUAAUACCGGAUAAUGUCUUCGGACCAAAGAUUUAUCGCCUUUGGAUGGGCCCGCGUUGGAUUAGCUAGUUGGUAGGGUAAAAGCCUCCCAAGGCGACGAUCCAUAGCUGGUCUGAGAGGAUGAUCAGCCACACUGGGACUGAGACACGGCCCAGACUCCUACGGGAGGAAGCAGUGGGGAAUAUUGGACAAUGGGCGAAAGCCUGAUCCAGCAAUGCCGCGUGAGUGAGGAAGGCCUUAGGGUUGUAAAGCUCUUUUACCCGGGAUGAUAAUGACAGUACCGGGAGAAUAAGCUCCGGCUAACUCCGUG